AAAUAAGAAGCAAAUUUUUGCAUUUAAUUUCGACUUAAAAAUUUGGGAUCGAUUCCCCUUAUUUU
rnacentral:tRNA from 1 species